rnacentral:lncRNA from 1 species
GGAACAGAGAUUUCUAGCGGGAUUGGGGCUUUGAGGGAGAAUGCUGCGCAGGACCGUCUCCUUCCCCAUUGAGGCGGGGCGGCUGCAGCAGCUGGGUCUAUUGGACUGUGCCUCCCACGGUGUGACAUCAUGCUCGGUGCUCGACCUCCCGUCUCUCCACCGAGGUCACCGGGGUUCACGACAACGGGAGGAUGAGUGGCAGGGCCGGUACCAGGGGCCUGCCGAGGCUGGCCAAUGGGAGGAUGAGCGGCAGGGCCGGUACCAGGGGCCUGCCGAGGCUGGCCAAUGGGAGGAUGACGGUGGGUUAGUGGUCACACCCUCUUCUAAUGGUAGCACCAGGGGACCCAGAUGGAAAGAUUUGUAUACCAGCUCAGACCAGCUAAGGUGAACAUACACACACACAGUUAUAGCCAUAGCCUUAAUCUAUCUGCUCAAAUCUGUGUGUCCACACAUUUCGCUGCUCUGUGUGUGUGUGUUUAGGUCAGACUCAGUGGAAGAUGAUAGCUAUGAAUAUGAAGGUGAGUUUUUCAUUGGUUAUUGGCUGCUCUUUACGACCAAUUAAAAGGUGUGGGUGUGGGUGUCUGUUUUGAUGUUUUGUGCGUGUUUCAGAGGGGAAGCAGAAUGGUGAGUCUGUCAGGCUGUACGUGUCAGAGGAAGAGAGGAUCCUCAACUCUGCAGACCUGUAAGGGCCUUACACCCAGACGACUCCUAGCGAAUCAAAUUGUAUUUGUCACAUGUGCUGAAUACAACAGGUGUAGACUUUUCUGUGAAAUCUUACUCACGAGCCCUUUCCCAACAAUGCACAGUUAAAAAGAAAGAAGAAUUUGCUACGAGGUUGCAAAGGUGAGGUAAUAUGUACAUGUAGAUAGGGGUAAACAUGACUAGGCAAUCAGGAUAUAUAAUAAUCAAAAUAAACUUUAUUUUUCACAUGUGCCGAAUACAACAAGUGUAGACCUUACCGUUAAAUGCUUACUUACAAGCCCUUAACCAACAGUGCAGCUCAAGAAGAGUUCCAGAUUUUUUUUAACCAAAUUAAAGUAAAAAAGUAUAAAAUUAACACAAUAAAAUAACAAUAAUGAGGCUAAAUACAGGGGGCACCGGUACCGAGUCAGUGUGCGGGGGCACAGGUUUGUUGAGGUAAUUUGUACAUGUAGGUAGGGGUGAAGUGACUAUGCAUAGAUAAAACAUUUUGAAAAAAAGCUGAGAUAAUAAGCAGAGUAGCAGCAGCAUGUAAAAGUCUGUCUGUGGCUUCAAUGUGAGAGUGUCAGUGUGGAAUGGGUAUAGUCCAAUCAGUGUGCAUAGAGACAGUACAAAUGGGGGGGGUCAAUGCAAAUAGUCCGGGAAGCAAUUGAAUUAACUGUUCAGCAGUCUUAUGGCUUGGGGAAAGAAGCUGUUAAGGAGCCUUUUGGUCCCAGACUUGGCGCUCCGGUACCGCUUGCCGUGCAGUAGCAGAUAGAACAGUCUAUGACUUGGGUGGUUAAAGUCUUUCACUAUUUUUAGGGCCUUCCUCUGACACCGCCUGGUAUAGAGGUCCUAGAUGGCAGGGAGCUUGGCCUCAGGGAUGUACUGGUCUGUACACAAUACUCUCUGUAGCGCUUUGCGGUCAGAUGCCAAGCAGUUGCAAUACCAAGAGGUGAUGCAGCCAGUCAAUAUGGAACCUUUUGAGGAUCUGAGGGCUCACGGCAAAUUUUUUCAGCCUCCUGAGGGCGAAGAGGCUUUGUCGUGCCCUCUUCACAACUGUGUUGGUGUGUUUAGACCAUGAUAGGUCCUUCGUGAUCUGGACAUCAAGGCUGUUGUGAUAGCAGUUUGUGUACUCACCACUUUCUAACUUGUGUGUUUGUAGGAGUUCAGAGGAGAGGCGUGAUGUUCUAGCAGAGUUGGUGUAUUCCCGAAGCAGACUGAAGCAAUUGAACUCAGAGCUGCAGAGAACAGUAGAGGUAGCCGAUGACAACAACACACUGCUACGCACCGAGAACACUGCCCUGCGCAACCAAGUCAAAGGGUAACCAUAUUAGCAACCACACACACUGCCCUGCACAACCAAGUCAAAUGUAACCAUCAAUCAGUCAGGCUGUUCA